AAAAGGCGAGCAUAAGCCAGCAGGAGCUUCAGGCCAUUAAGAGCCUUAUGCUACUCAGCAACACUCACAAAAAUGUCAGUGUUGAAAACCAGCUUCUGGCACUUAAAGAAGUGAACACCAGACAAAAUCU